UACGUAGGCAGCGAGCGUUGUUCGGAAUUACUGGGCGUAAAGAGUGUGUAGGCGGUGUUCCCAGUCUGUUGUGAAAUCUCCCGGCUUAACUGGGAGGGUGCAGCGGAAACUGGAAUGCUUGAACGUGGGAGAGGAAAGCGGAAUUCCUGGUGUAGCGGUGAAAUGCGUAGAUAUCAGGAGGAACACCUGCGGUGUAGACGGCUUUCUGGACCAUUGUUGACGCUGAGACACGAAAGCGUGGGUAGCAAACAGG
rnacentral:rRNA from 1 species